UACAGAGGUCUCAAGCGUUGCUCGGAAUCACUGGGCGUAAAGCGCACGUAGGCGGAUUGCUAAGUCAGGGGUGAAAUCCUGGAGCUCAACUCCAGAACUGCCCUUGAUACUGGCGGUCUCGAGUCCGGGAGAGGUGAGUGGAACUGCGAGUGUAGAGGUGAAAUUCGCAGAUAUCAGGAGGAACACCGGUGGCGAAGGCGGGUCUCUGGGCCGUAACUGACGCUGAGGCGCGACAGCGUGGGGAGCAAACAGG
rnacentral:rRNA from 1 species